GGCACUUCACAGUAACUGUACAGUGGCAUUGAUAAUGCAUGAGUGUUUCUAGACGUCGGACACAGUCUUCGCCAAUCAGUAUCCACACCACAUGUGUCCAACACUUCAGACCAGCACCUCACCAAUUCCCGACGGAUAUCACCUCAUUGUUGUUCGCCAUGAAGCACGACGAUGUCGUGUGGGCAAUGAGUUGUUUUGAGAAAAACAACUGGGUAUGUCAGUUAAGGAGUCACACUUGAAUAGAUUCAAGUCCAUGCUUUUUACUGCAUUCCCUAAAGCUAA